rnacentral:rRNA from 1 species
AUUGAACGCUGGCGGCAGGCCUAACACAUGCAAGUCGAACGAGUGGCGGACGGGUGAGUAAUGUCUGGGAAACUGCCUGAUGGAGGGGGAUAACUACUGGAAACGGUAGCUAAUACCGCAUACCAUCGGAUGUGCCCAGAUGGGAUUAGCUAGUAGGUGGGGUAAAGGCUCACCUAGGCGACGAUCCCUCGCUGGUCUGAGAGGAUGACCAGCCACACUGGAACUGUGACACGGUCCCGACUCCUCCGGGAGGCAGCAGUGGGGAAUAUUGCAGAAUGGGCGCAAGCCUGAUACAGACAGGCCGCGAGUAUGAAGAAGGCCUGCGGGUUGUAAAGUACUUUCAGCGGGGAGGCGUUACCCGCAGAAGAAGCACCGGCUAACUCCGUGCCAGCAGCCGCGGUAAUAC